GACGAACGCUGGCGGCGUGCUUAACACAUGCAAGUCGAACGGAAAGGCCCUGCUUUUGUGGGGUGCUCGAGUGGCGAACGGGUGAGUAACACGUGAGUAACCUGCCCUUGACUUUGGGAUAACUUCAUGCAACUGGGGCUAAUACCGGAUAGGAGCUCCUGCUGCAUGGUGGGGGUUGGAAAGUUUCGGCGGUUGGGGAUGGACUCGCGGCUUAUCAGCUUGUUGGUGGGGUAGUGGCUUACCAAGGCUUUGACGGGUAGCCGGCCUGAGAGGGUGACCGGCCACAUUGGGACUGAGAUACGGCCCAGACUCUUACGGGAGGCAGCAGUGGGGAAUAUUGCACAAUGGGCGGAAGCCUGAUGCAGCAACGCCGCGUGCGGGAUGACGGCCUUCGGGUUGUAAACCGCUUUCGCCUGUGACGAAGCGUGAGUGACGGUAAUGGGUAAAGAAGCACCGGCUAACUACGUG
rnacentral:rRNA from 1 species